CGGACGGGUGAGUAAUGUCUGGGAAACUGCCCGAUGGAGGGGGAUAACUACUGGAAACGGUAGCUAGUACCGCAUAACGUCGCAAGACCAAAGAGGGGGACCUUCGGGCCUCUUGCCAUCGGAUGUGCCCAGAUGGGAUUAGCUAGUAGGUGGGGUAACGGCUCACCUAGGCGACGAUCCCUAGCUGGUCUGAGAGGAUGACCAGCCACACUGGAACUGAGACACGGUCCAG
rnacentral:rRNA from 1 species